UACGUAGGGGGCAAGCGUUGUCCGGAAUCAUUGGGCGUAGAGCGCGUGUAGGCGGCUCGAUAAGUCUGCUGUGAAAGUCCAAGGCUCAACCUUGGGAUGCCGGUGGAUACUGUCGAGCUCGAGUCCGGAAGAGGAGUGUGGAAUUCCUGGUGUAGCGGUGAAAUGCGCAGAUAUCAGGAGGAACACCAAUGGCGAAGGCAGCACUCUGGGACGUGACUGACGCUGAGACGCGAAAGCGUGGGGAGCAAACAGG
rnacentral:rRNA from 1 species